CAGUAGCCGCGGGAAUACGAAGGGGGCUAGCGUUGUUCGGAAUCACUGGGCGUAAAGCGCACGUAGGCGGACUUUUAAGUCAGGGGUGAAAUCCCAAGGCUCAACCUUGGAACUGCCUUUGAUACUGGAAGUCUUGAGUUCGGGAGAGGUGAGUGGAACUGCGAGUGUAGAGGUGAAAUUCGUAGAUAUUCGCAAGAACACCAGUGGCGAAGGCGGCUCACUGGCCCGAUACUGACGCUGAGGUGCGAAAGCGUGGGGAGCAAACAGGAUUAGAUACCCCAGUAGUCCCUGUCCUUAUACC
rnacentral:rRNA from 1 species